CCAUUCUGAUACCACUCACUAGAAGAAGAUGACAGAACCAAUAAAAACGACAUAUAGUCAGCCAUUAGAGUUGUGUCGUUUUUUUGAAAAACAUUGUCGUUACAAAAGAUCUGCUUCCAUUCAUCACAAGAGAAGUUUCGAGCAGGUUGUGAAGGAUUGGUACUGCUCCCCAUAGUGACAGCUAAUCAGGCACUGGAACUGUGUCGUUUACUCAUAAAAUGUUGUCGUAUGAUAUAUAUUUGCUUCCAUUCCCUGCA
rnacentral:lncRNA from 1 species